rnacentral:rRNA from 1 species
AGAGUUUGAUCAUGGCUCAGGACGAACGCUGGCGGCGUGCCUAACACAUGCAAGUCGAGCGAUGAAGCCCUUCGGGGCUGAUUAGCGGCGGACGGGUGAGUAACACGUGGGUAACCUGCCUCAAAGAGGGGGAUAGCCUCCCGAGAGGGAGAUUAAUACCGCAUAACAUUAGUUUUUCGCAUGAAGAACUAAUUAAAGGAGUAAUCCGCUUUGAGAUGGACCCGCGGCGCAUUAGCUAGUUGGUGAGGUAGAGGCUCACCAAGGCGACGAUGCGUAGCCGACCUGAGAGGGUGAUCGGCCACAUUGGAACUGAGAUACGGUCCAGACUCCUACGGGAGGCAGCAGUGGGGAAUAUUGCACAAUGGGCGAAAGCCUGAUGCAGCAACGCCGCGUGAGUGAUGAAGGCCUUCGGGUUGUAAAGCUCUGUCUUUGGGGACGAUAAUGACGGUACCCAAGGAGGAAGCCACGGCUAACUACGUGCCAGCAGCCGCGGUAAUACGUAGGUGGCAAGCGUUGUCCGGAUUUACUGGGCGUAAAGGAUGCGUAGGCGGAUAUUUAAGUGAGAUGUGAAAUUCCCGGGCUUAACUUGGGAGCUGCAUUUCAAACUGGAUAUCUAGAGUGUGGGAGAGGAGAAUGGAAUUCCUAGUGUAGCGGUGAAAUGCGUAGAGAUUAGGAAGAACACCAGUGGCGAAGGCGAUUCUCUGGACCAUAACUGACGCUGAGGCAUGAAAGCGUGGGUAGCAAACAGGAUUAGAUACCCUGGUAGUCCACGCCGUAAACGAUGAGUACUAGGUGUAGGAGGGUCCAACCUUCUGUGCCGCAGUUAACACAAUAAGUACUCCGCCUGGGAAGUACGAUCGCAAGAUUAAAACUCAAAUGAAUUGACGG